UUCUUACCAACUUAGAUACGAGAACAAUUUCUUGACUUUUCCUUAGCGGGGGGAAAAGGCAGCUUUAGGGAAUCUGGACUGCCCUUUAGAGCCCAGUUUCUACCCAACUGAAAGUUAGGCCUGAUAGGGUUUGACCUGAAGAAAAGCAGAACACCUGAUCACGCAGACGCGAAUGCGGGACGCCUCACAACGCACGUGUUUCAACCAAGCUUCUCAAAACAAUAAUGAAGUGCGUUGGGCAGCUCUCUUAUUUCAUUUUAGAGUUGUUAAAAGAAUAUUGAAGUAAAACCAUGGAGAUGAGACUCGCUUGUAUAAGCAGGGAUUACACAGAGAUGAGUUAUUUAACAGUAUCUCCACUUCCAAGCGUCUGAAUGUGGGUCUUCAUCACUGAUCCCAAGUUAAAUUUGAUUGCCCUGUUAUCCUUUAUUUUCAAUAACAAAAAUCAUACCCCUUAGUAUGACAGCUGAGGCUGCCCUGGGAAUUCAGCGUUUUGCUGAGGAGAAGGAAAGCCUCAUAAGUGGGCUUGGUUAAGGUUUUUUUAAGGAACCACAGACCUUAUUUUCUUCUUAGCGCUUGGUGGUUCUGGGACUGGUGGGCCGUGCGGCCGAAUGUGCUGCAGCGGCUAAUUUAAAGUUCUGAGGGAGUUUAAACCAGCAUGCAUUUUUCAUCACAGACAGGUUAAAAGGUUUUUCAAGUAUCCUGCUUAUUCAUAGGCACCUGGGAUCCGGUAGGAUUGCAUAUCUGCCAGGACCUCGGCAAAUAUCACUCCCAAUUUGGCCCUGUAAAGGACAGCCCCAGAAAUUCUUUACACUUGUCCUACCUGGAAAUCGACUGCACAUUUUAUGGCAACUUUGGCUGUGAACUCUUCAUUUCAAGGCUCUACAUCUUUAUUUUAAUAUGCAUUGCCGUUCUUUAUUUGUGCGCCCAGGGAAUACUAAAUUCAAGGAGAAGGACAAGAGCUAAAUCUGGAUGCAUCCCAGUGGUAUUCAGGCUGACUUUGGUGAAGCCAGCUGCCAUGUUGUGAGCUGCCCUUUGGAGAAAACAGUGUGGUGAAGAACUGAGAUCCUGCCUACCAGUCCACAGAGAACUAAAUCCUGCCAACGACCACCAAGCAAGCCUGGAAGCAUAGCCCAUGCCAGCUGAACGUUGAGAUAGCUGCCGCUUUGGUGAACCCUUGACAAAAGCCUUGUGAGCCAGCCUGAGCUGCGGGACCCAGCUGGUUUGGUUCAGACUCCUGACUCACAGAAAUUGUGAGAUAAUACACGUGUGUUGUUUCAGGCAGCUAAGUUUUGUGGUAAUUUGUUGCCCUCCUAGAUAUUCUACAUCAUGUCAUUUUACAUUAUUUUCAAGCAAGCUCUUAUCAGUGUCUAAAAUGAUCUUAAUGUAUUUGUUGUUUAUUAUCUCUCCUACUCCAAGAUCUAAAUCUUGUAAGAGUUUAAUCUUAUCUUUCUUGUUCAUCUUCAGUUGCCCAGUGUCUAGAAGAGCACCCGGCAUGAAGUUACUGGUGCUCAGUCAUGAAUGAAUGAAUGAAUGAAUGAAUGAAUUUACUUAGAGUUUUCUUUCCAGGCCUUUGUAAUUGUCUCUCCCUAAAAUAGAGAAAUGUCUUAGGGCAAAGGCAUUUGCUUUUUCUCUUUAUCUCUACCUACAGAAGGAUAAUUUCUCAAUUAUUUUUUAACCUGCUGCUAAUCUUCUUUCUAACAGCUUUUUCAUUAUUAACUUCUCCAUGUCCAAAGGUCUUCAUAAACAAUAUUCCUGUCAUUUUCAUUUUGCAUAAAAUUAGGUAAACACAAAAAAGCUGAUUUUUUGACAUAUGGUA
ensembl:lncRNA